rnacentral:rRNA from 1 species
AACGAGUUAUCUGAACCUUCGGGGAACGAUAACGGCGUCGAGCGGCGGACGGGUGAGUAAUGCCUAGGAAAUUGCCCUGAUGUGGGGGAUAACCAUUGGAAACGAUGGCUAAUACCGCAUGAUGCCUACGGGCCAAAGAGGGGGACCUUCGGGCCUCUCGCGUCAGGAUAUGCCUAGGUGGGAUUAGCUAGUUGGUGAGGUAAGGGCUCACCAAGGCGACGAUCCCUAGCUGGUCUGAGAGGAUGAUCAGCCACACUGGAACUGAGACACGGUCCAGACUCCUACGGGAGGCAGCAGUGGGGAAUAUUGCACAAUGGGCGCAAGCCUGAUGCAGCCAUGCCGCGUGUGUGAAGAAGGCCUUCGGGUUGUAAAGCACUUUCAGUCGUGAGGAAGGUAGUGUAGUUAAUAGCUGCAUUAUUUGACGUUAGCGACAGAAGAAGCACCGGCUAACUCCGUGCCAGCAGCCGCGGUAAUACGGAGGGUGCGAGCGUUAAUCGGAAUUACUGGGCGUAAAGCGCAUGCAGGUGGUUUGUUAAGUCAGAUGUGAAAGCCCGGGGCUCAACCUCGGAAUAGCAUUUGAAACUGGCAGACUAGAGUACUGUAGAGGGGGGUAGAAUUUCAGGUGUAGCGGUGAAAUGCGU